rnacentral:rRNA from 1 species
UCGGGGCCCGAGUUGUAAUUUGAAGAGGAUGCCUCGCGGACGGCGCCGCCCUAAGUCCCUUGGAACAGGGCGUCAGAGAGGGUGAGAGUCCCGUAUGGGGGCGGAGGCCCGACGCGUGUGAGGCUCCUUCGACGAGUCGAGUUGUUUGGGAAUGCAGCUCUAAUUGGGAGGUAAAUUCCUUCUAAGGCUAAAUAUCGGCCGGAGACCGAUAGCGCACAAGUAGAGUGAUCGAAAGAUGAAAAGCACUUUGAAAAGAGAGUCAAACAGCACGUGAAAUUGUUGAAAGGGAAGCGCUUGCCGUCAGACUCGUCCGCGGGUGAUCAGCCUCCGUUCUCGGUGGUGCACUCUCCCGCGGCCGGGCCAGCGUCGGUUCGGGCGGUCGGAGAAAGGCGGCGGGAAUGUGGCUCCCUCCGGGGAGUGUUAUAGCCCGCCGUGGAAUGCGGCCAGCCCGGACCGAGGUCCGCGCUUUGCAAGGACGCUG